rnacentral:rRNA from 1 species
GACUCUUGGCAAUGGAUAUCUCGGCUCUCGCAUCGAUGAAGAACGUAGAGAAAUGCGAUACUUGGUGUGAAUUGCAGAAUCCCGCGAACCAUCGAGUCUUUGAACGCAAGUUGCGCCCGAGGCCACUCGGCCGAGGGCACGCCUGCCUGGGCGUCA